UUUGUAGCGGCUGUUUUCACUUCUCCAAGUCAGGCUCCAGGCUCUGAAGGGAGGGGUGUGAAUACGUGUGGGGAAGAUUAAGUGUGAGCAGCCUUUCGUAUGUUGGGAGAGAAAGGCUUGUGGAUGUGAUGGCUGCCCUGGGAAAUGACUUAGCUUGCUCAUGCCAUCUGUGGAAGUACCAGUGCUACGUGUUUAUGAGCAGACCUCAUCACGUGCAAACAGUUGAGCUGAGUUGUGAGUUCAUCUCUGCACAGGCUCCAGAUUUCCUCAUAGGGGUUGGAAGGGACCUCUGGGUAUCAUUAAGUCCAACCUGCUGCUAAAGCAGGAUCCCUCCAGUAGGUUGCAUGCUGCUCAGGUCACCAGAGGUCACUGAUAUGGUGCUGUGGUACCAAGGAGGCUUAUGAUGUUCCUGCCUCAGGUGCUGUAGGGUGGCAUGCCCUCAUCCCCAGGGCUUUGUGAGGAUUAGGGUUUGCACUGAGGUAGCAUCAAGCUCUUGCCUACCUCCUUUUGUGGGGCUGAAGGUCUCAGAUGACACCAUAGGGGAAGGACUGGAGUAAGGAGGCCACAAGUUGCUGCUGAUCCACCUCAGCCUUGUUUCAUACUGCUGGUAGGCAGAAACUUGGUACAGAAUGGGCAGACCGCCCCUUUCUGUCCUGCAGAGAAGGUCCCCUGCUCAUGGUGAACACCAUGCAGCCACCUGCUUUCUUUGGCUACGGGUCCUGCUGACGUGAAGAGUUUCAAAGGCUGCCAGCCUUGGCCAGGCCCUGGCCACUGGUCCCACUCGGCAGCGAGGAGCCCCUCCUGUGGGCUCAGCAGGAGCCUCAUGCUGUGGAAUUAGCUUCAGCUUUUUUUCUUGCCGAUUUAUCUUUUGAGUUUUCUAGGCCAGCUGUCCUCCUUUAUUAUCCUCUCAGUACCUAUUUAUCUCAUCUGCCCCCUCUUCUCCCCGCUUUCCUCCCUCUGAUUGCCUGGCCGUAGCUCAGCUCUUGCCCGCCAGCAAAAACAAGCCUCAGCGGCACAGCGUGACAGACCCCGCUGGAGACACAUUGGGCCCGACAGCCAGGGCCGAGUCAGCAAAGCUGGGUCCCACUCAUGCUCCUCGGCACCCAGCCAGUAUGUGAGAAGAAGCUACUGAGGAUGAGGGACAUAUCCCUGUGGUGCUGGCCCUACUGGACAUCAUCAGGCUGCAGAUCGUCCUCCUGGAAGUCUUCGGUUAUGGCCCAUAUGGGCCUCUAGACUUGGUCUUGGUGCUGACAGUGAUGAGUGGGAUGAGCUUGGAGUUUGUGUCUGCAUUCAGAUGAAGCAGUCUUGGUUGUCAGACCCAGAGGGACUGUGGAUACAAGGCAGAGCCCAGGGACUUAUCAUCUGGCCAAUAAUAAAAACAUUAAAAAAAUCACCUACAUAGGCAGCUGCCAUCACAGCCUGUGCAGCUGUGUCCCUUGCUUCCACAUCUGCCAUUAUGAACUUUGGC
ensembl:lncRNA